rnacentral:lncRNA from 10 species
GGUAUCUAUACAGGCAGGAUUAAGAUGGUCGUUAGGGUUCUUUCCAAGUGACAGGGCUCAGGUGAUGCACCCAAGUCCAUGGCCACCCUUCCUGGGUCACCGCCUCUCCCAUAGGUCUUUUGUUCUCCUGGCCCCAAACCUCCACUGCUUUCUACAUUGUCAGAAUCGAUUGGUGGUUCCUGUUUCCUUCUCACUUACCGACCUGCACAUGUCACAGAUUCUCAGCAUAUUCCAUUUGCAAGAAAGCCACUGUUUUAGAGUGGCUCUCUGUUUUGUUUUGAUUGUUGAGAGGAGCUCGUGGGCAUUAUUGCUGCAUCACCCGCCACACAACUGGGGAGGUGUCACCGGCUAAACAAAAGGCAGGGGUGACGGCUCCUCACCCCUGUGGCCCAGAUGGACUCCUCUGACAACCGGGGCAGAGCUAGGAAGACAAUACAGACUCUCAUGUUGCCUGCACAGAGCUCCCCACAAGACCACACUUCCUCCCGGGCUUUGAAGGGUACAUCAAUAUAAGACAAAUGAUACGUUCUAAAAAACCGCCUGCAAACACGGGCACCUGAGCCUGCUUGGUCUGCAAAUGUUUCAAGGCUCAGGGAGGCUGUCAUGGAUGUUUUCCCCCCGAGAGCUCCAGUGGCGGAGGUCUGCACAUUCAGGCCUCAAGGGGAAGGUAUAUCAGGAACCUUUGUCCCCCAAUGCCUGCAUGGAUACUACAGCAAUACUACAACCUCACAGAAGCUGCUUAACCCAUGGAUCCUGAAAACAUAGGCAAGAAGCACAGGUCCUGAUGAGUGGAUCUUUACUACUUUUACCAGAUUCCUCCCUCGCUCAGAGGGAUCCUCCCACACACCCAGCAGAGACUUCUCUGCCACCAUCAACCCCCCAAGUCAUAGGGGGCUCAAGUUCUGCCCUGGUGAGCUGUGGCCCCCAUCCUUGUGAACCCCAAAGUGUCCCCCUUGUGGAACCAAAUGUAUCCAUCUUGAAUAAAUUUGCCCAAAAUCCUAAAGACCGGGAAAAGGGAACCAUUGAGCUUGGCAAGUACUGGGGAAC